rnacentral:rRNA from 1 species
AUCAUUUAAACGGCCGCGGUAUCCUAACCGUGCAAAGGUAGCACAAUCACUUGUUCUUUAAAUAAGGACUAGUAUGAACGGCAUCACGAAGACUAUACUGUCUCCUUUCUUCAAUCAGUGAAACUGAUCUUCCCGUGAAGAAGCGGGAAUUAUAAUAUAAGACGAGAAGACCCCAUGAAGCUUCAAAUUAAAUAUUAACUACUACCACAACACCACCAAAAACCUAGUAGAUAUAAUUAUUAAUUUUAGGUUGGGGUGACCGCGGAGCACAACAAAACCUCCACAAUGAAAAGGCCUAACUCCUUUAUUCAAGAACAACAACUCUAACAAUCAACAUAUUGACAUACUUUGACCCAAAUUUUUUGAUCAAUGAACCAAGUUACUCUGGGGAUAACAGCGCAAUCCAUUUCAAGAGCCCCUAUCGACAAAUGGGUUUACGACCUCGAUGUUGGAUCAGGGUAUCCCAGUGGUGUAGCCGCUACUAAAGGUUCGUUUGUUCAACGAUUAAAACCCUACGUGAUCUGA